UGGUCUAAGCAGUGCAGAGUCCAGGGGCAGAAUGACCUCCCUGCUCCUGCUGGCCACACCAUUCCUGAUGCAGGCCAGGAUGCCACUGGCUCUCUUGGCCACCUGGGCACACUGCUGGCUCAUGUUCAGGUGGAGAAGGAAAGGCUCUGGGAAUCAAAGCAUAGGAUAAUUUGGGAAGAAGGAGAAGGUGCAGCUCCACUCACUGGGCACAAGACAAAGACUGCAUCGUCUCUCCUUAAUCUACACAGACAAAGGUUGCCUUUGUUACCUGCUGGGACUCAGACUCGGGGCUUGGCCCAAAGCUCAGGGAUGCAAAUCAACAGACAGCACCUUGGAAACUCCAGGAGCUCAGCCUGGCUGCAGUGCCCAGGAGGCCUACAUCUUAUCUCAGCUGCCCCCAAGGGAAAAGGUUUCUGUGCAUUCAGGGUAUGGACCCCUGCGAGUGCAUGAGAACACACAGGGAGAUGCCCUGGGGAGCUGCAGCUGGACACUGAGCAGAGAACUGGAUAAAAAGGCAGGAGAAUGCCUGCCAGAGUGUGGCACUCCCAGCAGACCACCAGUGGCACUCCCAGCGGACCACCAGUGGCACUCCCAGCGGACCACCAGUGGCACUCCCAGCAGACCACCAGUGGCACUCCCAGCAGACCACCAGUGGCACCUCUGCCGGACCACCGAGGGCAGAGCAGCACCAGACCCCCAGAGCUGCACCACCCGAGGAAACUCUGGCAAACUCCACAGAAGGUCACCCCUGGGCCACGCACUCGUCUGUCUCUCUCCCCUCCACCUGCGACCGAGGGUAAUAUGAGCACAGCUCUUUUCCUCCCCUUCUCCUUCUUCUCUUCUCCAUCCUUCUCUUCAUCUCUCUCUCCCUUCUCCCCUCUCUGCCUCUGCUUUGCCCAACC